rnacentral:tRNA from 1 species
GAGGGUAUAGCUCAGUGAUAGAGUGCAUGCUUAGAAUUCAUGAGGCCCUGAGUUCAAUCCCCAGUGCUUCUA